CAUGAGUGAAAGAAAGGGAACUAAACAUCUACUCAAGUAUUAUGAUUCAACUUUUGAUCACAUACAUGUAUCUAUUUCAUCCAACUUGUACAUUCAUGAUUCUUUACAUUGCUUGCAUCAUUUCUUUUAUAUCACAUUGGCUCAAAAUAAACAUUACAUUCUUUUCUUUCUUUGCUUUAUACAUCAACAUCUUAAAUCAUCAAAUACAAAAGAUGAUAAAAGGGUAAACUACUAACAAAAUAUAAAGCUCGACUUGGGUGGCCACUGUCUAGGGUGCGAUACCUUUACCGCGGUCGCUCGCCGGCUGGCUCGGUCCCGGCUCUGUGGAAUAGUGGGGUGAGAACUACAACAAAGUUUCCAGUGGGUUCGGCCCCAAUCUCACCGACUUUCCCACUAGGACUGACUCAGGCAUAAUAGAAAGGAUAAGCAGAAUAGUAACCAAACUAUAAUCAUGAUGCUAAUAUGCCUGAACAAUAAAGCAAGAAAUAUGCUCAACGUAAAUCAUGCAAGUAUGCAAGUUCUUUGUUCUUUACUCUUUAUUCUUUAAUCUUUGUUCUUUGUUCUUUAAUCUCACGGCUAACCCGGGGGUUUCGCCACAUUAACUUGCCCACAUUAAGUCCAUCAUCGCGGGCCCUCAGCUGCCUCCCGCUAAGACCGUCCUCGGGUUUACUCCAACCCGUGAUGCAAAACUCCGGAGCGCAUCGCUCGAGGGGGAGCGACCGCCCUCGAGCACGGAACUCAUAGCAAGUAUGAUCGAUCCUUAACUCUAAGGAUAUAUAGUUCAAUCAUUGUCUUUACACUAACUCUAGUGUUCUUUACAUCACUUUAUUUUGCUAACUCUAGCAAUCAUUGUUCUUUAACUUUACUCGUUCUUUAUGCCAUACUUUGCAUUAACUUUAACCAUUAUCAUUGUUCUUUUCAUCACAUUGAUUCUUUGAGGCCACACACUAACUCUAGUGUCGACUAUAUACUUUCGAAUGCCACUCGAUCUAUGCUCUUGUGUCACUUUGUUCUUUUAUCUCAUUAGGUUCUCACAUUACCUCUCAUGCAUAUAUAGGGUGUUAUAGGUUCUCAACCAACUAGAAAUGCACGUGUACUCACAUCAUGCAACAUUUACAUAAUUAUCAUCACAUUUUACCCUACAAUGCAUGCAA
rnacentral:lncRNA from 1 species